rnacentral:lncRNA from 1 species
GGGCUGACGGGCCCCGCUCGCCCCCUCCUUCCCAGAGCUGAGAACAGCGAGGGAAAAGCGACGGCGCAGGGCCGGGGCUCACUCACCUCAGCGACCUGCCCCGUGCUAGCACGUCCCAGCCGUGCUCCUCCGGGCGAACACCGACCCUGUCCCCUGUCCCCGGUCCCCUCACCCCUGUCCCCCCUCCCCUCCCGGCCUAGCCCGCCGCCCCCUCCCGCGCGCCCGGAGCGGGGCGUGACCCGCCCGUGCCGCAGCCUCACCGGGCGCAAGGCGCAUGCGCGAGGGCAGCCGGUGCGCACGCUGCCCGCCCCCGGCCCCGCCCCGCCCCGGCCCCGCCGCCGCGGCCACACCGGGAAGGGCUCCAGGCGCUAUGGCGGCGGCUGCGCGCAAGGUUGGAGGAAACUUCCCGCGGCCGGUGGCCUCCUGAGCGGCAGAGCGACCGAAGGGGAGCGCGCGGGCCCGGCAGCCAGGCCUCUCCCGCCGCCGGGGCAGCGGAGCCGCACUGGGCGGGCGGAGAGCGCGGGGGUGCGCAGCGGGCCCGCCUCAUGCGCAGUCACCUGCGGAGGGGCUGAGCGGAGCCGCCGCCGCCGCGCCCCGCGCCGGGGGCUCCGGGCGAGCACUUCCCGGGGCUGCCCCCGCUGCCCGGCCCUGCGGAGCCGCCGCCGAGGGACGCACAACGACCCCACCACCGGCCGGAGCCGCCGCCGGGGAGCGACCUGUCAGGGCACCUCGCAGGCCGGCCCCCAGAACCCUUCCCACGCGUCGGUUUGUCCCCGGGAGAAGGCGAGUUGGGAGCCUCUCCAUGCCUUAUCAAGUUCCUUAUCUGAGCGGCUCCCAGAGGCUGUAGAACAGUUCAGCUUUAUCUGGUGUAAGGGAGAAAAACAGUGUAGCUCUCGCACUCCAUCCUGUAUCGAGGACCACCUAUUCUGCUGGGGUUUAUCACACGAAGAUGAUGAAAUGCGGAUUGCUGGGUGAACCAUUAGGUCCCUGUUGUGAAACGAGGGCUUUGUAUUCGCCUUCCAGUUCCUGAUCUGUGCCGUGUGUGAGAGGACGCUAAUCUUUCUCCUUCAUCCCCCUUCCCUAAACCUUUCCUUGCUUCCAUGUUGCAUUGGUCAGACUUUUGGUCAGUGUUGUUUACGGAAGGAGGGGGGAAGAAGGCAGUUGAGGUUACAAACAAAAGUACUUGUAUGACUCAUCUACUUGGAUUUAAGACAUUGUAUCCUUCUUUCACGGGGCCUUUGCUUCUCUCUGAAGGAAUCAGAUGCUUUUUCCUAUUCUUCCAGAGGAGGAUGGAUUGAAAGUUGUACAUUUUAGACUUUUUUUGGGCCACUGCUGAUAUUAUUAAAAGACAUAAUGGGACUUUUUCUCUGGAUUAUUGCCAGAAUUAGUUUACACACUGAAACAAUGAGUUGUUAGGCCUCUCAUAUGAUAAUAUUUGUCCUGCUUUAAUAUAAAGUUGCUGUGGAGGUGUUUUUGAAAUUGCGGAGGACAGUCUGCAUCAGAAGAGGCUCUCUUCAUCUCUGGUUGGUGUA